UCGAAAUUCAAAAUAGCAUUAUCGAAAAUUCAAAAAGGCCGGAGAAGAAGAGAUGAAGCAGAAAAGAAAGGUCUACGACGAUAGUUCUCUGGAGAGUUGCAGAUCUCCAGCAGAAAGGUUUUGCUUCCAUUUAUUGUAAACAUUCGUUUGCGUAUAGAUAUCCAGUAGAAAUUUCUGAUAAAACAUUCGUCUAUUUAGAGCUCAAUCUCGUUCUUCACUUGGAAAUCGUGAUGGGAUUUCGAAUGAUGUGUAAAUGAUUAAUUACGUUGAAUACUGAAUAGUCUCGUACUACUCGCAUUAAUCUCGUACUGCUGACUUUGGGCUUCGUUCUGGUUUUCGAAUGGUGAGUGUUCAAAAAGAGGCAAUUGCAUAAGUACGGAGCAUUAAGUCCAGUCCAGUCCAGACACAGUAAAUCCAACAACAAAAGUAAUACUUUUCAUUCUCCAGAGACUGAGCAUGGCAGAGAACAUGUUCUGAUAAUAAGCCGCAGAUGCACUGUCCUCAACAAAAGCACCAUCAGAAUCUGAUACCAGUAAAAGCCACUAAAUGGACUCUGUUUCAUCAAAGAGGUUCUAGAGAUCAGCUUUUCAUAUACUUAUUGUUCUGUAGUGACGUGUCUUUGGCCUCUACCAACCUUUCACUUUGCUUAUCCCCAACAAUUUCUGGUGCGUGAAAGCUCUUUUGCUGGCACAAAGAAAGCUCUUUUACUGGCACAAAUGAUGGCUCAAAGACACAUCUGCAACACCCUCCAAGUUUUGACUAUGGAAUUUAAGCAAACAUCAACAUCACAUUUUCACCUAAAAAGGUAAAUUCUCCCUUUUUACCUGAUUCUUUCUGUGACUUUAGCCUUUCAAAAU
rnacentral:misc_RNA from 1 species